UACGAAGGGUGCAAGCGUUACUCGGAAUUACUGGGCGUAAAGCGUGCGUAGGUGGUUCGUUAAGUCUGACGUGAAAUCCCCGGGCUCAACCUGGGAGCUGCGUUGGAAACUGGCGAUCUAGAGUGCGGUAGAGGGUGGUGGAAUUCCCGGUGUAGCAGUGAAAUGCGUAGAGAUCGGGAGGAACACUCGUGGCGAAGGCGGCCACCUGGACCAGCACUGACACUGAGGCACGAAAGCGUGGGGAGCAAACAGG
rnacentral:rRNA from 1 species